CGGGUGGAGAGCAGUGGUCCGUGUACACCAGCAAGGAGUGCUACAAGUUCCUGUGAGAAGCAGCCCACUCAGGAUCUAAAAUCCAGAGAGAGGAUGGCUAAGGAAGACGCACCUCUGCUGCAUUAGAACAAAAGAAGCACUUCCAUUUGUGAGUGUGCAUGCACCGUCUCCCGCGGGGGCUCUGCGCUGCUGUCUCCACUCACAGGGCAGGGCCAGCUCCAGGCCUGGGCAGGCAGCAGCUCAAUGCAGCACUGCACCAGGCCCGGGCUCUGCUUCCUGGACACCAGCAGUCUCUCACUGUCUCUGAAGCUUAUGCUGGAGUUCUCCUAAUUGCAUUGAAAACUGAGAAACUGAGGCAGAAAGAGAUUAAGUAAUUUGUCAAAGUCACACAGAUAAAAUUAGGGGCUGGUUCUCAUGGUACUCACAGUCUAUUAAAUAGAGAGGUUUUUGUAUUUUAGCAGAAAAAUUUAAAAUUCCAUUAAAUGUACUAUUAGCCAAAAGCUAGCAAGCAUGUGGGUGAUUGAAAAUUAACUUGAUAUUCAAUUUUCAUUAGGGCACUUGGAGUUAUGUAUUCACCGCCCGUGUCUGUGCCGUUAGUGUUUCUGGUGUCUCAUUAUUUGUCUACAAAAGAAACAUAAUCAGUCUUCUUGUCCAAGUAAUUUUAAUGGACUUUUAGUGAACUAAGCUGGAAUUAUUUUAAAAUGCUCUUAGGAAUGCUAAUAUAACUCCUUUCUAAAAGAAAAAAAGCUGUGAAAUGCAUUAAUGACAAGAAUAAGUGGGUUAACUGACAACUUCGUUGGAACUGGUGUUAAGAAAGCUGAGUGACUUUGUAUUCAGUUUGCAAAAUCGUAGUUUGCCAAGAAUGAGUAAAAUAUAAAAUGUGUGAGAGACCACUUAAUCACUACAGAAAACUUUAAAUUAAGUGCAAUGCUUAGGAACAUACGAUUCAGAAGAUUGCUAAUCUUGUUAAGAAUAUUAUUUUACUAGGCUUAUGUGCAGCAUGAUUGCUACACGGAGCAUUCAGUCAUUGUUGAUGGAACGGGCACGUCCAGAAAGACCACAUCUGUCUUUGGACAUUAAAAUGCUAGUGCUACAUUAUUUAGAUGUUAUAUAAAUAUUAUUUAAAGAGAUCCUUCUUAAGAAACUGUAGUCAUCCAUCAGGAAGAUGUUGUUAGGAGAAUGUAGCUAUAGAAUACAGCUUCCUACAGUUGAAAUUGUCUGGCAUUCCCUCUGGAUUUUUAGUGUAAUGGCAAAGAACCGAAUCAACAAAUAUUAAAUAUCUGAAUAUCUACAGUGUGUGGACAACAAUGCCUGUGGCUUAGUUAACUCUUCCUCACAUUUUUAAAACUGGUUUUUGUUAUUUUCUGUGCUUUUCUGUUAGGAAUUCCCCCCAACAUACAUACAUAAAAUACUCUACAUCUCAAUGUAUCACAUUUAUCAUAUCUUUAAUGCCCAUGGGAGGAAGCUUUCUAGCAAGACAGACGUGGCACUGUGUUAGUUUCCUUGGCUGCUGUAAUAAAUUACUGCUAAUGUGGUGGCUUCAAACAAGUCAUCGUCCCGGUGCUGGGGGCGAGAAGUCUGAGGUCGAAGUGCAGAGGGCCUCACUCCUGGUGCCUGCAGACAGAAACACUCCUGGCUCCCACGGCUUCCGGAAGACAUCAGCACCCUUAACUCCCAGCCUCUUGGGCCUGAGCCUCUGCCUGCACGUCCCCUUCUCUGUGUGUGUGUCUCCUCCGGGUUCCUCUUAUUGGGACUCUUGUCAUGGCAUGUAGCACUCAUCCCGUGUGCCAGUCAGCACCACGAGUCAGCGCGGCUGGGUGGAGAUGCCUGUAGAGGUGAGUGGGCCGUGGGGUGCUCUUCUCCUCCAUGGAUCACAGCACUGAGGCUCACAGCUGAGUGCUCUGUUAGGAGUGGGGCCCCAUUGGAGGCGGUCACUGAGGUGUGCCUUGGAGCCUUCUCUGGCUCUCUUGCCCUGUGCUCUGUUUCCCAGUCGCCGUGCACUAGCAGUUCUGCUCCUUCCCACCCUGCCACCAUGAGGUUCCUGCCUUGGAGCCCUGGACUCCACUCAUGGGCUGAGACCUCAAACAAAAAUAAACCUCUCCUUUACACUGUGAA
rnacentral:lncRNA from 1 species